rnacentral:rRNA from 1 species
GCGGCCUACGGGGGGCAGCAGUGAGGAAUAUUGGUCAAUGGGCGGGACCCUGAACCAGCCAAGCCGCGUGAGGGAAGAAGGCACCGCGUGUUGUAAACCUCUUUUGUCAGGGAACAAAGCCGGGGACUAGUCCCCGGCUGAGCGUAUCUGAAGAAAAAGCAUCGGCUAGCUCCGUGCCAGCAGCCGCGGUAAUACGGAGGAUGCGAGCGUUAUCUGGAUUUAUUGGGUUUAAAGGGUGCGCAGGCGGCCAGUUAAGUCAGCGGUAAAAGCUCGG